UGAGGAAUAUUGGUCAAUGGGCGGAAGCCUGAACCAGCCAUGCCGCGUGCAGGACGACGGCCCUACGGGUUGUAAACUGCUUUUCCGGGGGAAGAAUAAGGGCGACGCGUCGCCCGAUGCCGGUACCCCGGGAAUAAGGAUCGGCUAACUCCGUGCCAGCAGCCGCGGUAAUACGGAGGAUCCGAGCGUUAUCCGGAUUUACUGGGUUUAAAGGGUGCGUAGGCGGGCCCCUCAGUCAGCGGUGAAAGACUGCGGCUCAACCGUAGGAUUGCCGUUGAUACUGGGGGCCUUGGAUUCGGUCGAGGCGGGCGGAAUGCGUGGUGUAGCGGUGAAAUGCUUAGAUAUCACGCAGAACGCCGAUUGCGAAGGCAGCUUACUUGUCCAUUAUUGACGCUGAGGCACGAAAGCGGGGGGAUCGAACA
rnacentral:rRNA from 1 species